AUAGAGCUUCCAUGGCGCCUGUUUAUCAAAAACAUGGUUUUUUGAAUAUAAUAAAAAAUCUAACCUGCUCCAUGCUUAUGUAAAUAGCCGCAGUAUUAUGACUGUGCUAAGGUAGCAUAAUCAUUUGUCUUUUAAAUGAGGUCUAGAAUGAAAGGUUGGUCGAAGGAAAACCUUUCUUUUUAUUAAAAAAUGAAUUUAAUUAAUAAGUAAAAAGGCUAAUAUAAAUUUGAAGGACGAUAAGACCCUAUUAAGCUUAAUUUUAUAAUUUUACUGGGGUGGUAAUGUAAGAUAAGAAUCUUACUUAAAAUGAGUAAAUUUUAUUGACCCAAAUAUUGUUGAGGAAAAGAUAAAGUUACUAUAGGGAUAACAGCUUAAUUUACCUUUAAAGCUCUUAUUUAAGGGUAAGUUUGAGACCUCGAUGUUGAAUUAAGGUGUCUUUUUAGUGAAGAAGCUAUAGUUAGAAAGUCUGUUCGACUUUUAAAUCCUUACGUGAUCUGAGUUCAGACCGGCCAUGGGAAG
rnacentral:rRNA from 1 species